ensembl:lncRNA
CGGUGACUGCCUUGAUCCUUUGGCUUCCUCUUGACUCUAGAUCCACUCACCUGGGGCUGGAAUUGGAGAAGCUGUUCUGACCUUUUUCCAUCCAGUGUUUCCUUGUCCUGUGGAAGAGUCACCCUGGAAGCAUCCUUGACCUUAUCUCCAUUUGGAGAUGACAUGAAGAGCCGGAACUAGCAAGCAUAUGCCUAUAUCAUCCCUCAGAAGUGGAGGAGCAGAGAGGACGAAUCUAGCUCCCAGAAGUUGAGGUCCUGAAGCCUUCAGUUGGCAAAGAAGACAUUCAGCCCCACCCCGCCCCCUCCACUUUCUGUCUGCCAACCCACUGCGUCAGUUGGACAUCAGUGUAGAGGACCAUGCCAUCAGACUGGGAGGUGGGGGAGAGGUCCAAAUUGAACCUUAAAGGAUGAGAAGGAGGUAGAGGGGACCCAGAGCAACAGGGUAAGGGGUCUCCUUCCCUCUCUGCUUCUCUCUGGCCAUUUUCUCUGAGUGCUGCACCUACUCAGGGAAGAUGACCUCUGCAAAGAUUGGAAUCUUAUUCUUGCAUCAAGAGAAGGCACAAAUAAAACAUUUGCAC